GACGAACGCUGGCGGCGUGCUUAACACAUGCAAGUCGAACGGAAAGGUCCGGCGUUUGUGGGUUGCUCGAGUGCCGAACGGGUGAGUAACACGUGAGUAACCUGCCCUUGUCUUUGUGGUAACUUCAGGAAACUGGGGCUAAUAUCGGAUAGGACCUCCUGCUGCACGUGGUGGGAUGGAAAGUUUCGGCGGUUGGGGAUGGACUCGCUGCUUAUCAGCUUGUUGGUGGGGUAGUGGCUUACCAAGGCUUUGAAGGGUAGCCGGCCUGAGAGCGGGACCGGCCACAUGAGGACUGCGAUACGGCCCAGACUGCUACGGGAGGCAGCAGUGGGGAAUAUUGCACAAUGGGCGGAAGCCUGUGGCAGCAACGCCGCGUGCGUGAUGACGGCCUUUGGGUUGUAAACCGCUUUCGCCGGUGCCGAAGCGUGAGUGACGGUAAUGGGUAAAGAAGCACCGGCUAACUACGUG
rnacentral:rRNA from 1 species